AUAACAGGUCUGUGAUGCCCUUAGAUGUUCUGGGCCGCACGCGCGCUACACUGACGAGGACAACGAGUUUAUAACCUUCACCGGAAGGUGUGGGUAAUCUUUUGAACCCUCGUCGUGCUGGGGCUUGAUCUUUGCAAUUUUCGAUCACAAACGAGGAAUUCCUAGUAAGCGUGAUUCAUCAGAUCGCGUUGAUUACGUCCCUGCCCUUUGUACACACCGCCCGUCGCUACUACCGAUUGAAUGGUUUAGUGAGGCCUCGGGAUCAGCUUCUCGUCUCGGGCAACCGAGACUUGGAGCAGAGAACUUGGACAAACUUGAUCAUUUAGAGGAAGUAAAAGCCGUAACAAGGUUUCCGUAGGUGAACCUGCAGAAGGAUCA
rnacentral:rRNA from 1 species